rnacentral:rRNA from 1 species
UACGUAGGGUGCUAGCGUUGUCCGGAAUUAUGGGGCGUAAAGAGCUUGUAGGCGGUCUGUCGCGUCUGCUGUGAAAAUCCGGGGCUCAACCCCGGACUUGCAGUGGGUACGGGCAGACUAGAGUGUGGUAGGGGAGACUGGAAUUCCUGGUGUAGCGGUGAAAUGCGCAGAUAUCAGGAGGAACACCGAUGGCGAAGGCAGGUCUCUGGGCCACUACUGACGCUGAGAAGCGAAAGCAUGGGGAGCGAACAGG